CUACUGGGGUUUCUAAUCCCGUUUGCUCCCCUGGCUUUCGCGCCUCAGCGUCAGAUAAGGUCCAGCGUGCCGCCUUCGCCACCGGAGUUCCUAUUGAUAUCAACGCAUUUCACCGCUCCACCAAUAGUUCCGCACGCCCCUACCUUCCUCGAGACACCCAGUAUCCAUGGCAGUUCGACAGUUAAGCUGCCGGAUUUCACCACAGACUUUGAUGCCCGCCUACGCGCCCUUUAAGCCCAGUGAUUCCGAAUAACGUUUGCUCGGUUCGUCUUACCGCGGCUGCUGGCAC
rnacentral:rRNA from 1 species